rnacentral:lncRNA from 1 species
CCAAAUAAUUUAUUUAAAUGGGGAGAGAUUAUGAAAAAUUUGUUUAUAUGAUGAUGCGAAUCGAUAAAUAUGUGAUACAAAAUAAUCAGUAAUUUUUAUGGACGAGAUAAUACUCAUUAUGAGAUGCACCAGCAUUAUAAACAUAUAUUUUAAAUAAUGAAUCUCGCAUACUUCAGGCUGCGAGUUGAUAAUACCUUUGUAUACAACCAUAUAUUUCACAAAAUAUCUCACUGUUCAAUAAUAUGAUAUUUUCAUCUCAUGCCAUAUCUUCAUUAAUUUAUUCUCAAAGAUGAUAAAUCACAAUUAUAUCUUUGCUGGUGAUCAAUUUUCCUUUAUAAGCAAAUAAUAUAUGUACCACUGAGAAGAAGAAUCUAC